rnacentral:ncRNA from 2 species
UCCCAUGUCUAGGGGUGUUCCGCAAUAUGCGAAACUGAGAAAUUUACCCUUUGAACCUGAUCGGGACAAUACCCGCGUAGGAAAUGACGAUGAACCCACCC